rnacentral:sRNA from 1 species
GUUACCUCUCCUGGCUUGUUUGACUUCAUUAAGUUCUGUAACCUGUGUCCCUAAAUAGCGUGACGCACACACAAGAGGAGCACAGGCACAACAAAACUUGGACUGGAUUUAUUUGUUGCUGGUGACAGCUGGAUUGCAGUUUUGGGCCGUUUUGGAUAUCUUCUCUACCAGGCCUUCGAUUCUUUUCUUUAGUAAUCAUUAAUUCUGAAAUGUGAAUGUAGGACUUUAACUGUUCAGUAGUGCUAGUUCGUGGGCCGUGUAAAAUAUCACUUAAUUAAGAUCUCAAGAUAGCAUUGGACUUCAGGUAUAGACCAUACUAUCCAUAGUCAUAGACUUUUGACUUGUUGAAGACUGACAUUUCAAAUUGAUUAAAAUGCUACCCUUUGAUGGAGUUUGAGAACCUUCUAUUGGUGAGUUUUAGCAUUUAUCUUAGUUCUACGAGGACUUAAGCCAAUGUCUUUCGACUUCUUUUCUCUUUUUGUUCUAGUUUUCUUGUUAACUUAUGGGUGCCUGAACUAUGUAGUACCUCGUUGUCUGUGUGUGUGUAUCUCCUGUGUUUGUGUAUAUGUGCGAAUGGAUAUAUCGACUAAGGCGAGAAAUGUGAUACGUGUGGCCCGGGGGAGAGGGGUAUUUUUCUAUUUUGUUUAAACUGUUUUAUACACGUAUUGGCUUUAGAAAACAAAACAGCGCUAUAAUUAGAUAUAAUGCCGAACUGGUCAACCUAACCCAUUUUAACCCAUUACAACCUAAGCUACAGAAAUAUGGAGACAAUUAGUGCUUCAAAUUUAGAUCUUCAUGUUCACAGAAAACAAGGCACAUUUCUUGAACACUCUCUCGUCCAUGUACAAGUGUAUGCUGAUGUAGUGUCAUACUCGAAUCAAUAGGAUGUAAUUAUCUUCAGCUUGAAAAGGAACGUCCGUAAUAUAUAUAUAUAUAUGUAUCAGUUAAUAAGGCAUAUUUAGUGCUUGAAUAAAAGGAAAUCGCUCAAUAGUCACGUCGCUUUAUCUCACGAGGUCAAGAUAACCAUUGUCAUGUUCUUAAGGACAUCAAGUGACCAUCGAAACCGUUGAGCGUACCGAAAACCUGCAGCUUAUCGUCCCCUUACGAUGGCGCUGUGGACACUUUUAUACCGGCAUUGCCUUUCGAAGUCAAACCGUGGUCAGUCUUGUCAAACAUCCGGUUUGAGGACGAGGGCUGCGCACCGUUUGACCUGAUCUGCGAGAUUACUACAGGUCCAUUCACAGGUGAACGAUGCAUUCACUUGCCCAAUCCCCCCUCCCCCCACACCCUUUUCCUGAGAGUGAAGGUCUUCUUUUCAUUAUGGGCUCCAUUAAUGGUACUGCUGUGUAGACCAGUGGUUCUAAAUUUCCUUGCCGCAUGCUUUGUGAGAUGGGGGCCUUUAAUUUCUCAAAGAAGCACUGCGAUUUUUAAAAUGGCGUAAUAAUACUCCCCCCCCACCUUCAUUUUAGAACAGACAUAAUAGGUUCUUUUGAAAAUUUUAAAUGUACAAAGUCGCCAUAAAAACUUUCUAAAAAAAAAUAAAAAAAAAUAAAAUUAUCGGUAAGGGGACAUUAAAAAAAACAAAGAUGUGAUAGUCGUUUCAUGUUGUUGUUUUAUCAGGUGUACUGUGAAGAAAUCAAGUCUUUCAACAUUUAUUUCAAUUAUUUUAUCUGCACAUAGUAACAAACAAACAAAACGUUUAUCGAGUCACUGUAUGUUUGUGUAAGUACUACAGUAUCACAGUUGGAUCUCAUUAUUUUUGAAUAGACGCGUUGACUCAUAGCAAAUUACUUUUUUUUUUCGACAUUGUCACCUGUAGCGGCUA